rnacentral:rRNA from 1 species
UACGUGAGGGGCGAACGUUGUUCGGUGUCACUGGGCUUAAAGGGCGCGUAGGCGGGCUGUCAAGUCGGUGGUGAAAUCGUUCCGCUCAACGGGACAAUGGCCUUCGAUACUGGCGGCCUGGAGGGAGGUAGGGGCAUGCGGAACUUCCGGUGGAGCGGUGAAAUGCGUAGAUAUCGGAAGGAACACCGAUGGCGAAAGCAGCGUGCUGGACCUUUUCUGACGCUGAGGCGCGAAAGCCAGGGGAGCAAACGGGG